GACGAACGCUGGCGGCGUGCUUAACACAUGCAAGUCGAACGAAGUGGCGAGCGGGUGAGUAACGCGUAAUCAACCUGCCCUUCAGAGGGGGACAACAGUUGGAAACGACUGCUAAUACCGCAUACUGAAGGAGGGGAUUGCGUCUGAGUAGCUAGGUGGAGGGGUAACGGCCCACCAAGGCGAUGAUCAGUAGCCGGGAUGAGGGGAUGAAUGGCCACAUUGUGACUGAGACACGGCCCAUAUGCCCUCGGGAGGCAGCCAUGGUGAUUCGGCCGCAAGUGACGAAAGUUGGACGGAGCAACGCCGAGUGAGUGAUGACGGCCUUCGGGUGGUAAAGCUCUGUUAAUCGGGACGCGGUACCGGAAUAGAAAGCCACGGCUAACUCCGUGCCAGCAGCCGCGGUAAUAC
rnacentral:rRNA from 1 species